UGGGGAAUAUUGCACAAUGGGCGCAAGCCUGAUGCAGCCAUGCCGCGUGUAUGAAGAAGGCCUUCGGGUUGUAAAGUACUUUCAGCAGGGAGGAAGGUGUUGAGGUUAAUAACCUCAGCAAUUGACGUUACCCGCAGAAGAAGCACCGGCUAACUCCGUGCCAGCAGCCGCGGUAAUACGGAGGGUGCAAGCGUUAAUCGGAAUUACUGGGCGUAAAGCGCACGCAGGCGGUCUGUCAAGUCGGAUGUGAAAUCCCCGGGCUCAACCUGGGAACUGCAUUCGAAACUGGCAGGCUAGAGUCUUGUAGAGGGGGGUAGAAUUCCAGGUGUAGCGGUGAAAUGCGUAGAGAUCUGGAGGAAUACCGGUGGCGAAGGCGGCCCCCUGGACAAAGACUGACGCUCAGGUGCGAAAGCGUGGGGAGCAAACA
rnacentral:rRNA from 1 species